CACCAUUUCAAGCGACUUUUUUUGUUGAGAGAAAUUUAGUUUCACUUACUCACACUACAUCACCAUUGCAGCCGUUACUGAUUUUUUUUCGUCUUCGUCUUCCAUCCGUUUUAGUUCUUCAACCUCUUUUAAAGGUGUCGCGCGUUUUUCCCUUCACAGCUUCCAUUCGGGUUGCAGCGAAAUUUCGAGACUGAGGCAGAUGCGUUAAGUUGAAGACUUGAAGCUCCCUUGCUCUCUCCUUGAUUUGCUCACAGAAACGAUUUUCUUCAUAUGGAUUGGCUAAUUUCUCAUAGAUUGAGGAAAAUGACUAUGGGUUCAUGAUAUUGCAGGUGAGACAAGUGUUUUGAAGAGGGUUCAUAUGUUAUCCCAGGUGUGAAACAACAUAGAUUGAUUUCUGAUUUCUUGUGCUUGGCUGAACAGAUAUGAAUGAUGUAAUAGAUGGAGAGUUGCUGGGUGGAUCAUAUCAUCCAUAUGCAUAGGGGCGUUUUCCUCACAUAUGCAGCUUCAUAUAGCUUUUCUCAAUCUGUCUGCACAUGCCCACAUUGUUUCGAAUCCUAUGCUUUCUUUUACUUCAAUUGUUGGUUCCGAAUCUGUUUUUCCUUUUGUUCAAUUGAACAAGUUUUUAACUUUUUUCAAACUAUUUUUUUUAUUGUUUCUUACUUUCAAUUUUCGUUUUUUUUUAAGUUUUUUGUCUGUUAUUUGCUUUUUAAGCUAGAAACUAAGUGAAUUUUUAUGGUCUGCUAUUUUCUUACUUCAAGUUAUUUGAUAUUAUAUUAUAUCUCGCUA